rnacentral:lncRNA from 1 species
CCUGAUCCUGGUCAGCGCUGGCAUUUCGCACCGGAGCUGGCCGAGCAGCGUGCGUCUGCGUGCAGGAGGCAGUGACGGGCAUGGCGCGGACUACGUCCGUCUGGCGUCUGGCUGGCGGAGGAGCUGGCCGACAGCGUGGAGGGAAGCGAUGCCGGUGGGACUGCAGCGGAGAGACUCGGAAGGAGGCAGAAGGGCCCAGGGGCAGGAUGUGCCAUGACGUGUCCCUUUGGAGCAGAAGCGGUGCUGCGCAGCUCAGUAGAGAGAAAAUCAAGCCGGCGGGCUCGGCCGCUUUCCCGCGCUGAAGGAGGGAAUGAGGAGCGUGCAAAUGUGGUGCUUCCCCCGAAAGCAGCGACUCUCCGAGGUAGGUGCAAACUCUGAAGUUAUGGACUUUAUUAAGAACUGUAGCUUACUAACAUCCAAUUAGAGAACUUCAACCUGGUGAAGUCAGAAGAACUCGAGCCCUCCUUACUUACCCAGAACUUAUAUAAAAGUUCUAAAUUAUAUAUAUAUAUAUAUAUCUCCAUAUAUAUUUUUAUAACUGUAUACCCUUUUAGGUUUAUAACUUCAGGUAAACCYAAGUUCUUUAUAAAAAGAGUUCUAAGUUAGAACUUUAGAGGCUUAAAACCUGCACAAAUUCUACAGCUUCUCAAGGUAUCGACCUUGGUAAGUUAGAACUCUUGGACUUAUUAAGUGUAAACUUAGAACUUUUUAUAAAAGUUGUAAAGUUCAUAAUUUACAGGUUAGAAGUGAUAAAGCUUUGUAGUAGACUACACUAUAAAGAUAUACACUUUCCAGAACKUUAUAGCUUGUUACUUCUAGUUUUAGGUUUAUAAUUUUAGUUAUUGAGUUUAUCCCAAUCUAUAGACUCGUGUAUAUAAAAGUGUAUAUCUUCAGAACUUUUAACUUUUAUAUAAGUUCUGGGUUUAUAAUGCUAAGUUUAUUUCUUUAUAAAUUGGAAAGUGUACAUAUACACUUUAUAUAAAGGUGUACCUUUAAACUUUUUAAAAAAGUUUAAAUAUAUAUAUUUGAAGCAUACACUCACUCUUAAAAGCAUACAUAGGUUUGUAUAUAUACACUUUAGAACAUAGACCGUCUUCCUCUUUUGAACUUCAGAACUUCCUUAUGAACUUAGAACUUUAUAAAGUAUAGAUACACUUUGUAAGUUUAUUUAUAUAUAAAUAACUUCAUCACUUAGGCCUUCUUACUUUUAGGUUUUAUUUAUUUACAACUUUAGAAACACCUAGGUUUAUAAAGUGUAUAAAUUAAUAACAUUUACACUGGAAACAUAUAAAGAACUUCUAA